UUGGCUGUGUUAAAAUGAUUACCCACAGUAGAGAGGCUAGUAAAGUUUGGCAUCCAAGUCCCUACUUUUUGUGUGUUCUAUGAUAGUGAUAAUGAAACUCACCAACACUUGUUCUUUGAAUACUGCACCACAAAGGGGCUGUGAAGAUAUUGCUAGGCUGGCUAGGAAUGCACAGACCUAUUGGAGAAUGAAUGAGUGAAGUUGUAUGGGUUGCACAACAAGUGAAAG
rnacentral:lncRNA from 1 species